GACGAACGCUGGCGGCGUGCUUAACACAUGCAAGUCGAACGGAAAGGCCCUGCUUUUGUGGGGUGCUCGAGUGGCGAACGGGUGAGUAACACGUGAGUAACCUGCCCUUGACUUUGGGAUAACUUCAGGAAACUGGGGCUAAUACCGGAUAGGAGCUCCUGCUGCAUGGUGGGGGUUGGAAAGUUUCGGCGGUUGGGGAUGGACUCGCGGCUUAUCAGCUUGUUGGUGGGGUAGUGGCUUACCAAGGCUUUGACGGGUAGCCGGCCUGAGAGGGUGACCGGCCACAUUGGGACUGGGAUACGGCCCAGACUCCUACGGGAGGCAGCAGUGGGGAAUAUUGCACAAUGGGCGGAAGCCUGAUGCAGCAACGCCGCGUGCGGGAUGACGGCCUUCGGGUUGUAAACCGCUUUCGCCUGUGACGAAGCGUGAGUGACGGUAAUGGGUAAGAAGCACCGGCUAACUACGUG
rnacentral:rRNA from 1 species